GAUGAAGAACGCAGCGAAAUGCGAUAAGUAAUGUGAAUUGCAGAAUUCAGUGACUCAUCGAAUCUUUGAACGCACAUUGCGCCCCUUGGUAUUCCGAGGGGCAUGCCUGUUCGAGCGUCAUUAUAACCCCUCAAGCUCAGCUUGGUGUUGGGGCCUGCUGCACUGGCAGCCCUUAAAAUCAGUGGCGGCGCCAUCUGGCUCUAAGCGUAGUAAUUCUUCUCGCUAUGGAGUCCUGGUGGAUGCUUGCCAUCAACCCCCAAUUUUUCUAUGGUUGACCUCGGAUCAGGUAGGGAUACCCGCUGAACUUAAGCAUAUCAAUAAGCGGAGGA
rnacentral:misc_RNA from 1 species